GAACGCUAGCUACAGGCUUAACACAUGCAAGUCGAGGGGCAGCAUGGUCUUAGCUUGCUAAGGCCGAUGGCGACCGGCGCACGGGUGAGUAACACGUAUCCAACCUGCCGUCUACUCUUGGACAGCCUUCUGAAAGGAAGAUUAAUACAAGAUGGCAUCAUGAGUCCGCAUGUUCACAUGAUUAAAGGUAUUCCGGUAGACGAUGGGGAUGCGUUCCAUUAGAUAGUAGGCGGGGUAACGGCCCACCUAGUCUUCGAUGGAUAGGGGUUCUGAGAGGAAGGUCCCCCACAUUGGAACUGAGACACGGUCCAAACUCCUACGGGAGGCAGCAGUGAGGAAUAUUGGUCAAUGGGCGAGAGCCUGAACCAGCCAAGUAGCGUGAAGGAUGACUGCCCUAUGGGUUGUAAACUUCUUUUAUAAAGGAAUAAAGUCGGGUAUGGAUACCCGUUUGCAUGUACUUUAUGAAUAAGGAUCGGCUAACUCCGUGCCAGCAGCCGCGGUAAUACGGAGGAUCCGAGCGUUAUCCGGAUUUAUUGGGUUUAAAGGGAGCGUAGAUGGAUGUUUAAGUCAGUUGUGAAAGUUUGCGGCUCAACCGUAAAAUUGCAGUUGAUACUGGAUAUCUUGAGUGCAGUUGAGGCAGGCGGAAUUCGUGGUGUAGCGGUGAAAUGCUUAGAUAUCACGAAGAACUCCGAUUGCGAAGGCAGCCUGCUAAGCUGCAACUGACAUUGAGGCUCGAAAGUGUGGGUAUCAAACAGGAUUAGAUACCCUGGUAGUCCACACGGUAAACGAUGAAUACUCGCUGUUUGCGAUAUACAGCAAGCGGCCAAGCGAAAGCGUUAAGUAUUCCACCUGGGGAGUACGCCGGCAACGGUGAAACUCAAAGGACUUGACGGGGGCCCGCACAAGCGGAGGAACAUGUGGUUUAAUUCGAUGAUACGCGAGGAACCUUACCCGGGCUUAAAUUGCAGAUGAAUUACGGUGAAAGCCGUAAGCCGCAAGGCAUCUGUGAAGGUGCUGCACGGUUGUCGUCAGCUCGUGCCGUGAGGUGUCGGCUUAAGUGCCAUAACGAGCGCAACCCUUGUUGUCAGUUACUAACAGGUUCUGCUGAGGACUCUGACAAGACUGCCAUCGUAAGAUGUGAGGAAGGUGGGGAUGACGUCAAAUCAGCACGGCCCUUACGUCCGGGGCUACACACGUGUUACAAUGGGGGGUACAGAGGGCCGCUACCACGCGAGUGGAUGCCAAUCCCCAAAACCUCUCUCAGUUCGGACUGGAGUCUGCAACCCGACUCCACGAAGCUGGAUUCGCUAGUAAUCGCGCAUCAGCCACGGCGCGGUGAAUACGUUCCCGGGCCUUGUACACACCGCCCGUCAAGCCAUGGGAGCCGGGGGUACCUGAAGUGCGUAACCGCGAGGAGCGCCCUAGGGUAAAACUGGUGACUGGGGCUAAG
rnacentral:rRNA from 1 species